UACAGAGGGGGCAAGCGUUGUUCGGAAUUACUGGGCGUAAAGGGCGCGUAGGCGGCCGCCUAAGUCAGACGUGAAAUCCCUCGGCUCAACCGGGGAACUGCGUCUGAGACUGGAAGGCUUGAAUCCGGGAGAGGGAUGUGGAAUUCCAGGUGUAGCGGUGAAAUGCGUAGAUAUCCGGAGGAACACCGGUGGCGAAGGCGGCUCCUGGACCGACACUGACGCUGAGGCGCGAAAGCGUGGGGAGCGAACAGGAU
rnacentral:rRNA from 1 species